rnacentral:rRNA from 1 species
AUUGAACGCUGGCGGCAGGCCUAACACAUGCAAGUCGAGCGGAUGAAGGGAGCUUGCUCCUGGAUUCAGCGGCGGACGGGUGAGUAAUGCCUAGGAAUCUGCCUGGUAGUGGGGGAUAACGUCCGGAAACGGGCGCUAAUACCGCAUACGUCCUGAGGGAGAAAGUGGGGGAUCUUCGGACCUCACGCUCUCAGAUGAGCCUAGGUCGGAUUAGCUAGUUGGUGGGGUAAAGGCCUACCAAGGCGCCGAUCCGUAACUGGUCUGAGAGGAUGAUCAGUCACACUGGAACUGAGACACGGUCCAGACUCCUACGGGAGGCAGCAGUGGGGAAUAUUGGACAAUGGGCGAAAGCCUGAUCCAGCCAUGCCGCGUGUGUGAAGAAGGUCUUCGGAUUGUAAAGCACUUUAAGUUGGGAGGAAGGGCAGUAAGUUAAUACCUUGCUGUUUUGACGUUACCAACAGAAUAAGCACCGGCUAACUUCGUG